rnacentral:rRNA from 1 species
AAUGAACGCUGGCGGCAGGCCUAACACAUGCAAGUCGAACGGGUCCUUCGGGACUAGUGGCGGACGGGUGAGUAACGCGCGGGAACGCGCCCUUUGCUUCGGAAUAGCCCCGGGAAACUGGGAGUAAUACCGAAUGUGCCCGAGAGGGGAAAGAUUUAUCGGCAAAGGAUCGGCCCGCGUUGGAUUAGGUAGUUGGUGGGGUAAUGGCCUACCAAGCCGACGAUCCAUAGCUGGUUUGAGAGGAUGAUCAGCCACACUGGGACUGAGACACGGCCCAGACUCCUACGGGAGGCAGUAGUGGGGAAUCUUAGACAAUGGGGGAAACCCUGAUCUAGCCAUGCCGCGUGAUCGAUGAAGGCCUUAGGGUUGUAAAGAUCUUUCAGGUGGGAAGAUAAUGACUGUACCACCAGAAGAAGCCCCGGCUAACUCCGUGCCAGCAGCCGCCGUAACAC